rnacentral:rRNA from 1 species
GACGUUACCGACAGAAUAAGCACCGGCUAACUCUGUGCCAGCAGCCGCGGUAAUACAGAGGGUGCAAGCGUUAAUCGGAAUUACUGGGCGUAAAGCGCGCGUAGGUGGUUUGUUAAGUUGGAUGUGAAAUCCCCCGGGCUCAACCUGGGAACUGCAUUCAAAACUGACUGACUAGAGUAUGGUAGAGGGUGGUGGAAUUUCCUGUGUAGCGGUGAAAUGCGUAGAUAUAGGAAGGAACACCAGUGGCGAAGGCGACCACCUGGACUGAUACUGACACUGAGGUGCGAAAGCGUGGGGAGCAAACAGGAUUAGACUACCCCUGGUAG